GUAGUCCUAGCCGUAAACGAUGCAUACUAGAGGUAGGAGGGCUCAACCCUUUCUGUCUCGGAGCUAACGCGUUAAGUAUGCCACCUGGGGAGUACGCUCGCAAGGGUGAAACUCAAAAGAAUUGACGGGGGCCCGCACAAGCAGUGGAGCAUGUGGUUUAAUUCGAUGCAACGCGAAGAACCUUACCUGGGCUCGAAAUGUAGAGGACUAUGCAAGAGAUUGCAUAUCCCGAAAGGGUCUCUAUAUAGGUGCUGCAUGGCUGUCGUCAGCUCGUGCCGUGAGGUGUUUGGUUAAGUCCAGCAACGAGCGCAACCCUUAUCGUUAGUUGCCAGCGCGUAAAGGCGGGAACUCUAACGAGACUGCCUAGGUUAACUAGGA
rnacentral:rRNA from 1 species